UACGUAGGGUGCAAGCGUUAUCCGGAUUCACUGGGUUUAAAGGGUGCGUAGGCGGGCAUUUAAGUCAGUGGUGAAAUACCUGAGCUUAACUUGGGAACUGCCAUUGAUACUAUUUGUCUUGAAUGUCGUGGAGGUUAGCGGAAUAUGUCAUGUAGCGGUGAAAUGCUUAGAUAUGACAUAGAACACCUAUUGCGAAGGCAGCUAACUACGCGAAUAUUGACGCUGAGGCACGAAAGCGUGGGGAUCAAACAGG
rnacentral:rRNA from 1 species